CCUACGGGAGGCAGCAGUGAGGAAUAUUGGUCAAUGGACGCAACUCUGAACCAGCCAAGCAGCGUGCAGGAUGACGGCCCUAUGAGUUGUAAACUGCUUUUGUACGAGGGUAAACGCAGACACGCGUAUCUUUUUGCAAGUAUCGCACGAAUAAGGACCGGCUAACUCCGUGCCAGCAGCCGCAGUAAUACGGAGGAUUCAAGCGUUAUCCGGCUUUAUUGGGUUUAAAGGGUGCGUAGGCGGUCGGAUAAGUUAGUGGUGAAAUGCCGAGGCUCAACUUCGGAAUUGCAUCUGGUACUGGUCGGCUAGAGAGUAGUGGCGGUAGGCGGAAUGUAUGGUGUAGCGGUGAAAUGCUUAGAGAUCAUACAGAACACCGAUUGCGAAGGCAGCUUACCAAGGUACUUCUGACGUUGAGGCACGAAGGCGUGGGGAGCAAACAGGAUUAGAUACCCCAGUAGUC
rnacentral:rRNA from 1 species